AUACGGAGGAUCCGAGCGUUAUCCGGAUUUAUUGGGUUUAAAGGGUGCGCAGGCGGGAGAUUAAGUCGGCGGUGAAAUUUUGCAGCUCAACUGUAAAAGUGCCUUCGAAACUGGUUUCCUUGAGUGUAGAUGAAGUAGGCGGAAUUUGUGGUGUAGCGGGGAAAUGCAUAGAUAUCACGAGGAACUCCGAUUGCGCAGGCAGCUUACUAAACUACUACUGACGCUCAGGCACGAAGGCGUGGGGAUCAAACAGGAUUAGAUACCCUGGUUGUCCACGCAGUAAACGAUGAUUACUAGCUGUUUGCGAUACAAUGUAAGCGGCUGAGCGAAAGCGUUAAGUAAUCCACCUGGGGAGUACGUUCGCAAGAAUGAAACUCAAAUGAAUUGACGGGG
rnacentral:rRNA from 1 species